rnacentral:rRNA from 1 species
UACAGAGGGUGCAAACGUUGCUCGGAAUUAUUGGGCGUAAAGCGCGUGUAGGCGGCUUGUUAAGUUGGUUGUGAAAACCCAUGGCUCAACCAUGGAAGGGCGUCCAAAACUGGCAAGCUAGAGUCCCGACGAGGAUGGCGGAAUUCCCAGUGUAGAGGUGAAAUUCGUAGAUAUUGGGAGGAACACCGGUGGCGAAGGCGGCCAUCUGGGCCGAUACUGACGCUGAGGAGCGAAAGCGUGGGGAGCGAACAGG